rnacentral:lncRNA from 1 species
GCGGGCUCGGGCCUUCCCGGCGUCUCCGCGCAGGCCUCGGGGAAGCGGGGUCCGGGGGAGCCGUGGUGCGGUGGGACCGCGUGGGUCCUGGAAGAGCUGCAGAGGAGAGUGACGGCUUUGGAUGCGCUUUGCCCCAGGGCCUUUCUUCCCGGAGUUGGCCUUUUCCCUGCCCUUCUCUUCUCCUGGCGUGGUGACCUGCCUCCCUUCUCCUGGAUCGCUUUGCUGGCAGCCACCUUGUAACACCUCAGACUGCAGCCCGUGCUGAUGACUGUGGCUGUGAUGAAUUCGUGCCUGUGACCACAGCUGCUCUCCAGGUGCUGGGUGGCUCCUCCCUUGACGCCCAUCCAUUCUGUCUCCUGCCUGGCCUUGUUCACUGUCGCUCAUCUCGCUCAGCUGAGGUCCCUCCUCCUCCGCUGUUUGGUGUCCUUGCCAGUUAAUCACCCUUAGGUGCUGGGCCCUGGACUUACGGACAACAUGGAGCCUGGCUUGUUGACAGGACAGUGUCUGCGCCUCUCCGUCUACACCCCCACAACAGGGGUUACUGGGGAGGGGGCGUCUGGGAGUGACAGAGAUCGCUGUGGGGUCUGUGUGACCAUCAGCUGUCCCUGUAGCUGGGGAAUGGUGCUGCGCGGCGGGCGGGUGGCACAGUGAGCAGCCCUGGGUCCUCACUGAGUAAGGGAGUGGCUGGGGAGUGGGGAGGCUUGCCUUUGUAUCCUGGGUGGGCAUGGGGCUGGGGGAGUCACGGAGACCUGGAGGACCAGCUGCUGCUGGCCAGUGGGUGGUGGUGUCUCAGGGCCAGCCCAAAGCCUCCUGAGCUCCUGCCACUGCUACUGAGUGCUUCCUAGCCUGUCCCUCUGGUGUCCCGCCACUCCUUCUUCCUCAAGCAGGAGGGCUGAGCUGGGCUGGGGCAGAGGGGGCCUCCCACGGCUUCCCUGUGGGACUCUAGGCCUCUGCAGUCAGCACAUCCUGAGAGGACCGUGGGUGUCUGCUGCCCUUCCCUCCCUAGUCCUCUCGUUUCGGUGAAGCGGCUCCUUCUGUCUUCUCAAGCACAGACCUUGGUGUCAUCUUUGAGGGCCCCAUCCUUGAGGGCCUAGAUUCCACAUGAAAUCCAUCUAUGAAUCCUGCUUUCCAGCUGUGUUACAACAGGGCCUCCUCUCACCUUUCUCGGCUGGCCCAGGCCUCUGCCUCAGUAGGGCUCUAACAUGAUUUUCAGAAAUCUCACAGGUUUUUCCUUGCAAGACGCGUGUUUCACUGUGUCUCCAGUCUGCAUGGAUGUGGGCGUGUGUUGUGAUGGUCAGAUGGUGGAGUGAGAGCAGCCAUAGUGUGAGGUGUGGGUGAGGGUGGCCAGUCAGCCGAUGAGUGGGAGCGUUCAGACCGGGGUGCCUGGUGCCCCCAUAACCUCCUCGGGGUUCCCAGGGAUGGCGCCUCUGACCCAGCGUGCAGCCCGAGGUGGGCCCCGUGCCAUUCCCACUUAAGCGAAGUGUCUGUUCCUCUCUCUGUUCAAUGUGGGUUUUGUUUCUGAAUAUAUUUUCUCACACUUCUUCUUCAAAAGUUACUUUGGAAAGACUGUUUUUCCAAAUUGAUGAUCUCUGAACUGCUGUGGUGUUGGUGGGGACAGAGAUGGUCCCAGAGGGGACCUGGGAGCUGCCUUUUACUGCCUGCCCACUCUUCCCGAGGCCGGGAGGGGCCUGAGAUGUGUUCGCAGCUUCUGGCCUCGGGCGGGACUUCCCACCGCCAGCUGGUGCUGUGCUCAGAGUCAGAGGUUCCUUGAUGCCCAGCACGUGGGUCACCAGCAGCUUUGCCAGGUGUACUUUUGAAAAAUGAGAAAAGGGUCAUGAAGAGCUUGGGAGGCUUCCAUGAGGUUGUUCUGACUCUCUGUUGUUAGAAUGGCAACCCUAAAUGAGCCGCAGAGCUGCAUGUUUAUGUAUACAUUUGAAUUCUAGAUUUGCACAGAUCACCACGCCAGUGAAGACUAAUCACCAUGAAAAGCCACCCAAGAAAAAAGGCCAAGUCGGCAUCUUAAAUAGGAAA